UAAUAAGUGUUUUAUGGCACUUUUUAAAUCCAUAUCCACCUUGUGUGCAAUGUCAGUCGAUCUUCUUCAUGGAGAUCGACCAAACAUCAACCUUUAUCUUUUAACUCUUUGUCUGAAAAAUAUCGUGAAUAAACAAUUCAAAAUA
rnacentral:misc_RNA from 1 species